AAUAAAUGAACACUUGUGCUUUCAUGUGAUCCCUUAUUUUUUUCCCUCAGUAUAUAUACACCGAACCUCGGGCUAAGGAAGUGGUACAGUGUUCUACAAUCUGCCACAACUAUCAAACUGAACACCGAGGGGCGAUGAAAUACAGCAGUUGAAUAAGUUGACAUCAUGUUGAAUGGACAAAAGGACAUCAACAUUAUUGGGAAAACUUAGCUAUAAACACAUUAGCAUUGAGUAAAAUGUCGACUAGAAAAUAUGAGGUAAGUGAAUUCAGCAUGACGAUUCACAUUAGAGCCUUCAUUGUCGUGCUGAAACUACCCACUCUCUGAUUAUGUUUAACCCCUCUGGUGUCCCAAUUAAACAUAUAGUUUCACUUUGGGUGAUAAUGUUGGAAAGCAGGCAAAUGCUGAAAACCUUUACAAGAAAGGUGUAAAGUUUGGAACAGCUUUUGGAGAAAAUCCAAAAUUAAGGCUGAUACAUAAAAUGUUUUGUCUCAGCAAUUUUGGCCUUAUCAGCAACUUCCAAUAAGCAAUAUACCACUGAUACAGUAGGCUAAUAGAUGAAUGUAAUGAUUUUACGAAUUAAUACUUAAGUAGUCCGAUACACGCUCGGGCAAUACACAAUUUCACACUCGUUUCGUAUAAGUCGUAUGACACACUUGCUCUUGUAAUAAUCUCUAUAUAUUCCCUCCAGAAAUGGAUUGUUGCCAGAAGAAUGACUACAGUAACUUCAAUAAAAACUUUUCACUUA